UUAAUACAUCAUGAGAACAAGAUUCUUAUGUAAACCUACCUUCCGUGGCUAAUUCAUUUAAAUUUGGCAAGAACGUGGUGAAAGUAAUUAAUCCACACAAAAAAUUACAAAUAAAUUUACCGUUAUACCGGACAACAGAGAAAUACAUUAAACCACAAAUCAAAUUCGGAACACGCUUAGAUAACCCGUGAUUCUGUUUUUAUCCCCAACAUCUAUCAGAUAGUUACAAUAUAUAUAUAUAUAUAAAGUUCAUAUUCAGAGUUAUAAUUGUAAAAUUAUAGAGAAUUAAUGUAUUUAAUGAUAAACAAUGUAUAAAUG
rnacentral:lncRNA from 1 species